CCGGAGCAGAGAUUGAGGAAGAGAAUGCUGGCUGGACCAGCCAUCUUGGCCCAACCUUGAAGUCCCCAGUACAGUGUGAAGCUGCCAGGUGAGACAGUGGAGUAGAAUGAUCCUUUGCAUGAUGCUGUGUGAGUGAGAAGAGUCAAGGCAACAACGGAGAAACUAUACUCCAAGGACAAAAAGAGAAAAAGCACUCUGAGUAUCAGGACAGAGAUUACAGGAAAGCUAAAAAUUACAGAGAACCAGGAAGUAAAGCAGAGAAAAGUGCAAAAUGGUCUCCAGUACCAACUCUAUCUCCCCAGGGAGGGCCAUUUGAUUCUGCAAGUACCAGAGGAACUGGAAAACACACCAGAAACAGAAAGAGAAGUCCUGCCCCAUACAUUCCUGGAAAAAUCAGGAUUUGUACCAGAAAUUUACACAGCUGCUACAAAAACCUCACACCAGCUAGAUGCAGUGGCAUAAGUCUAUAAUCCCAGCUACUCCAGAGGUGAAAGCAAAACAUCACAAGUUAAAGACAAGCAACUUAACAAAUAUUAUAUACAAAUAUUACAAAAAGGAGCACAGAGCAUAUUUCAAUAGCCCUUAAAUCCAAUCACCAACAUUACAAAGAGAAAAACAAAAAACAAACAACAGAAAAUAUCAUCCUAGAGGGCAGGAGUCCCUAGUCAGGGAAAGCUGGUGUCACAAUGCAAUGGAAAGGAGACUUGAUUGAAAUCUGGGACGUAUUUGGCCCAGGUGCUGGCACUCAGGAAGAACCUCACACAGCCAUACUGCAUGGAGUUUCUGGAAUUGGGAAGUACUGGCAGACGCAGAGGCCGGGAACAAGGCCAGCUGUACAGGGACCACUUCCAGCAUGUCUUCUACUUCAGCUGCAGAGAGCUGGCCAGUGAGUUAUUUCUAGCCAUUUCUGGCUAUCAACAUGAAAUUGGCCUUUAGGACCAGGAUGCAAGUGGCAGUAACCUAAUGCGGGACCUUCAGAAGAUUCCUGAACAGGCACAGAUGCAAAAGCCAGAUGGGAACAAGAGGAACCAAGGAAGUGCAAGAGAGUUUGUAAGGGACAGUGGCAAAUGGAAGCUGGAAAGAAUCCCAUGGGCAAUUCAAGGGCUUCUGCUGCAAGUGGGAGGGCAGUGGGGAGGCACUGAGUCAGCUAGGAAAGGCA
ensembl:lncRNA